AGGAAGAGAGAAUGCCGGAAUGAGUAGCGAGAUAGAGGUGGGAAUCCUCUAGGCCGAAUAUCCAAGGUUUCCAGAGUAAAGCUGAUCUGCUCUGGGUGAGUCGGGGCCUAAGGCGAGGACGAGAGUCGUAGCCGAUGGACAACAGGUGGAGAUUCCUGUACUGCGGUAUGACAGAACUGUGGGGACACGUAAGGAAAGCGGAAGCCGGGAAUGGAAAGCCCGGUGCAAGCGGGGUACCAGUCACUUUGGCAAAUCCGGGUGGCAAUGGGAAGCCGUGAUGCGGAGCGAAAUAAAGUAGUGAAGUCCGUGAGCCAUGCGUCAAGAAAAGCCGCUAUUGUUUAUACCGUACCCGUACCGUAAACCGACACAGGUGGAUGAGGAGAGAAUCCUAAGGCCGGCGGAAGAAGCAUUGUCAAGGAACUCGGCAAAAUGGCCCCGUAACUUAGGGAUAAGGGGUGCCUGGGAAACCAGGCCGCAGAGAAUAGGCUCAAGCAACUGUUUAGCAAAAACACAGGUCUAUGCGAAACCGAAAGGUGAGGUAUAUGGGCUGACGCCUGCCCGGUGCUGGAAGGUUAAGAGGAGAGGUUAGCGCAAGCGAAGCUUUGAAUUUAAGCCCCAGUAAACGGCGGCCGUAGCAAUAACGGUCCUAAGGUAGCGAAAUUCCUUGUCGGGUAAGUUCCGACCCGCACGAAAGGCGUAAUGAUUUGAGCGCUGUCUCGACAAUGCAUCCGGUGAAAUUGAAGUACCAGUGAAGAUGCUGGUUACCUGCGCCAGGACGGAAAGACCCCAUGGAGCUUUACUCCAGUCUGGUACUGGGACUCGGUAUUGCAUGUACAGGAUAGGUGGGAGGCUAGGAGAUGGUAACGCCAGUUGCCAUGGAGCCGCUGUUGGGAUACCACCCUUGCAGUAUUGGGUUUCUAACCAGCCGCCGUGACCCGGCGGUGGGACAAUGCCAGACGGGGAGUUUGGCUGGGGCGGUCGCCUCCGAAAGGGUAUCGGAGGCGCCCAAAGGUUCCCUCAGAAUGGACGGAAACCAUUCGAAGAGUGCAAAGCAGAAGGGAGCUUGACUGCGACACCGACGGGUGGAGCAGGUACGAAAGUAGGGCUUAGUGAUCCGGUGGUAUUAAGUGGGAAUGCCAUCGCUCAACGGAUAAAAGCUACCCUGGGAUAACAGGCUUAUCACUCCCAAGAGUUCACAUCGACGGAGUGGUUUGGCACCUGAUGUCGGCUCAUCGCAUCCUGGGGCUGUAGUAGGUCCCAAGGGUUGGGCUUUCGCCCAUUAAAGCGGUACGCGAGCUGGGUUCAGAACGUCGUGAGACAGUUCGGUCCCUAUCCGGCGUGGGCGUAGGAUAUCUGAGAGGAGCUGUCCUUAGUACGAGAGGACCGGGAUGGACGGGCCGCUGGUGCAUCGGUUAGACUGCCAAGUCUACGGCCGAGUAGCCAAGCCCGGAAGGGAUAAACGCUGAAGGCAUCUAAGCGUGAAGCCCCCCUUAAGAUGAGAUAUCCCAUUCGUUAAGAAGUAAACCCCCUUGAAGACGACGAGGUAGAUAGGGCAGAGGUGGAAGUGCAGCAAUGCAUGGAGCUGACUGUUACUAAUCGGGUGAGGGCUUGACC
rnacentral:rRNA from 1 species